GUCGUAACAAGGUUUCCGUAGGUGAACCUGCGGAAGGAUCAUUAUUGAAUCAAGCUUGGUUAGGUUGUUGCUGGCUCUCUGGGGCAUGUGCAUACCUGACACCAAUCUUUUCACCACCUGUGCACCUUUUUAGUAGACCUGGAUAAUAUUUCUAGGUUUAUGUACUUUUACAUACUCAAUAUGCUUAGAAUGUUAUUUUCAUAAGGGCUUGAUUGCCUUUCAGACCUUUAUACAACUUUCAACAACGGAUCUCUUGGCUCUCGCAUCGAUGAAGAACGCAGCGAAAUGCGAUAAGUAAUGUGAAUUGCAGAAUUCAGUGAAUCAUCGAAUCUUUGAACGCAUCUUGCGCUCCUUGGUAUUCCGAGGAGCAUGCCUGUUUGAGUGUCAUGAAAAUCUCAACCUUUUCAAUUUUGUUGAAUUAGGCUUGGAUUUUUUGGGAGUAGUUGCAGGCUUCUCAGAAGUCUGCUCUCCUUAAAUGUAUUAGCGGGCCCUUGCUGUCUAGCAUUUUGGUGUGAUAAUUAUCUACGCCAUUGUGAACAGCAUAAUAAGGAGUUCAGCUUCUAGCAACCUCUGACUUUUUGACCUCAAAUCAGGUAGGACUACCCGCUGGACUUAAGCAUAUCAAUAAGCGGAGGAAAAGAAACUAACAAGGAUUCCCCUAGUAACUGCGAGUGAAGCGGGAAAAGCUCAAAUUUAAAAUCUGAGGGUCUUUGUGGCCUUCCGAGUUGUAAUCUAGAGAAGUGUUAUCCAUUCUGGACCGUGUACAAGUCUCCUGGAACGGAGCGUCAUAGAGGGUGAGAAUCCCGUCUUUGACACGGANCACCAGAGUU
rnacentral:rRNA from 1 species